GUGAACGCUGGCGGUAGGCCUAACACAUGCAAGUCGAACGGCAGCACAGUAAGAGCUUGCUCUUACGGGUGGCGAGUGGCGGACGGGUGAGGAAUACAUCGGAAUCUACUUUUUCGUGGGGGAUAACGUAGGGAAACUUACGCUAAUACCGCACACGACCUACGGGUGAAAGCAGGGGAUCUUCGGACCUUGCGCGAUUGAAUGAGCCGAUGUCGGAUUAGCUAGUUGGCGGGGUAAAGGCCCACCAAGGCGACGAUCCGUAGCUGGUCUGAGAGGAUGAUCAGCCACACUGGAACUGAGACACGGUCCAGACUCCUACGGGAGGCAGCAGUGGGGAAUAUUGGACAAUGGGCGCAAGCCUGAUCCAGCCAUACCGCGUGGGUGAAGAAGGCCUUCGGGUUGUAAAGCCCUUUUGUUGGGAAAGAAAAGCAGCAGGUUAAUACCCCGCUGUUCUGACGGUACCCAAAGAAUAAGCACCGGCUAACUUCGUG
rnacentral:rRNA from 1 species